rnacentral:rRNA from 1 species
AGAAUCAACGCUGGCGGCGUGCCUAACACAUGCAAGUCGUACGCGAAAGGGGCUUCGGCCCUGAGUAGAGUGGCAAACGGGUGAGUAACGCGUGGGUGACCUGCCUUCGAGCGGGGGAUAACGUUCCGAAAGGGACGCUAAUACCGCAUGACAUCCUGCCUUUGGACAGGCGGAGAUCAAAGCCGGGGAUCGCAAGACCUGGCACUCGAAGAGGGGCCCGCGUCCGAUUAGCUAGUUGGUGGGUAAUGGCCCACCAAGGCGACGAUCGGUA